rnacentral:rRNA from 1 species
GAGUUUGAUCCUGGCUCAGGAUGAACGCUGGCGGCGUGCUUAACACAUGCAAGUCGAACGAAGCACUUUGCUUGAUCCCUUCGGGGUGAUUGCUUUGUGACUGAGUGGCGGACGGGUGAGUAACGCGUGGGUAACCUGCCUCAUACAGGGGGAUAACAGCUGGAAAUGGUUGCUAAUACCGCAUAAGCGCACAGGACCGCAUGGUCCGGUGUGAAAAACUCCGGUGGUAUAAGAUGGACCCGCGUUGGAUUAGCUAGUUGGUGGGGUAACGGCCCACCAAGGCGACGAUCCAUAGCCGGCCUGAGAGGGUGAACGGCCACAUUGGGACUGAGACACGGCCCAGACUCCUACGGGAGGCAGCAGUGGGGAAUAUUGCACAAUGGGGGAAACCCUGAUGCAGCGACGCCGCGUGAAGGAAGAAGUAUCUCGGUAUGUAAACUUCUAUCAGCAGGGAAGAUAGUGACGGUACCUGACUAAGAAGCCCCGGCUAACUACGUGCCAGCCGCCGCGGUAAUUC